UACGAAGGGGGCUAGCGUUGUUCGGAAUUACUGGGCGUAAAGCGCACGUAGGCGGGUUGUUAAGUCAGGGGUGAAAUCCCGGGGCUCAACCCCGGAACUGCCCUUGAAACUGCAGUGCUAGAAUCUUGGAGAGGCGAGUGGAAUUCCGAGUGUAGAGGUGAAAUUCGUAGAUAUUCGGAAGAACACCAGUGGCGAAGGCGACUCGCUGGACAAGUAUUGACGCUGAGGUGCGAAAGCGUGGGGAGCAAACAGG
rnacentral:rRNA from 1 species